rnacentral:rRNA from 1 species
UUGUUGGCGGAUGCGUGGGACCUGAUCUGGUAGUAGCCAAGCGAUGGGGUGACGCAGGAAGGUAGCUGGGCCAGUCAGUGGUUGUACUGGUGUAAGAGUGUAGGCCGUGACAUAGGCAAAUCCGUGUCACAUUAAGGCUGAGACUUGAUGCAUACCCGUUGUGGGGAAUUCAGUGAUCCUAUGCUGCCGAGAAAAGCCUCUAGUGAGUUCAUACACGGCCCGUACCCCAAACCGACACAGGUGAUCAGGUAGAGAAUACCAAGGCGAUCGAGAGAACUGUGGUUAAGGAACUCGGCAAAAUGCCCCCGUAACUUCGGGAGAAGGGGGACCAUGCCCGGUGAACAUCUUCACGGUGGGAGCUGGGUGUGGUCGCAGAGACCAGAGAGAAGCGACUGUUUACUAAAAACACAGGUCCGUGCGAAGACGUAAGUCCAUGUAUACGGACUGACGCCUGCCCGGUGCUGGAAGGUUAAGAGGACCGGUUAGCCGUAAGGCGAAGCUGAGAAUUUAAGCCCCAGUAAACGGCGGUGGUAACUAUAACCAUCCUAAGGUAGCGAAAUUCCUUGUCGGGUAAGUUCCGACCUGCACGAAUGGCGUAACGACUUCUCUGCUGUCUCGACCACAGACUCGGCGAAAUUGCACUACGAGUAAAGAUGCUCGUUACGCGCGGCAGGACGAAAAGACCCCGGGACCUUUACUAUAGCUUGGUAUUGGCGUUCGAUUCGGUUUGUGUAGGAUAGGUGGGAGACUGUGAAGCAUGCACGCCAGUGUGUGUGGAGUCGUUGUUGAAAUACCACUCUGAUCGUAUUGGACGUCUAACCUCGGCCCAUGAUCUGGGUUAGGGACAGUGCCUGGUGGGUAGUUUAACUGGGGCGGUUGCCUCCUAAAGAGUAACGGAGGCGCCCAAAGGUUCCCUCAGCCUGGAUGGCAAUCAGGUGUUGAGUGCAAGUGCACAAGGGAGCUUGACUGUGAGACCGACACGUCGAGCAGGGACGAAAGUCGGGACUAGUGAUCCGGCACCGGCAAGUGGAAGCGGUGUCGCUCAACGGAUAAAAGGUACCCCGGGGAUAACAGGCUGAUCUUCCCCAAGAGUCCAUAUCGACGGGAUGGUUUGGCACCUCGAUGUCGGCUCGUCGCAUCCUGGGGCUGGAGUAGGUCCCAAGGGUUGGGCUGUUCGCCCAUUAAAGCGGCACGCGAGCUGGGUUUAGAACGUCGUGAGACAGUUCGGUCUCUAUCCGCCGCGCGCGUAAGAAACUUGAGGAAGGCUGUCCCUAGUACGAGAGGACCGGGACGGACGAACCUCUGGUGUGCCAGUUGUUCCACCAGGAGCAUGGCUGGUUAGCUACGUUCGGAAGGGAUAACCGCUGAAAGCAUCUAAGCGGGAAGCCUGUUCCAAGAUGAGGUUUCUCACCACCUUGCGUGGUUAAGGCCCCCUACAGACCAUGGGGUUGAUAGGCCGGAACUGGAAGCGCAGCAAUGCGUGGAGGUGACCGGUACUAAUAGGCC